rnacentral:rRNA from 1 species
UUAAGCGACUAAGCGUACACGGUGGAUGCCCUGGCAGUCAGAGGCGAUGAAGGACGUGCUAAUCUGCGAAAAGCGUCGGUAAGGUGAUAUGAACCGUUAUAACCGGCGAUGUCCGAAUGGGGAAACCCAGUGCAAUUCGUUGCACUAUCGUUAACUGAAUACAUAGGUUAACGAGGCGAACCGGGGGAACUGAAACAUCUAAGUACCCCGAGGAAAAGAAAUCAACCGAGAUUCCCCCAGUAGCGGCGAGCGAACGGGGAGCAGCCCAGAGUCUGAAUCAGCUUGUGUGUUAGUGGAACGGUCUGGAAAGUCCGACGGUACAGGGUGAUAGUCCCGUACACCAAAAUGCACAGGCUGUGAACUCGAAGAGUAGGGCGGGACACGUGGUAUCCUGUCUGAAUAUGGGGGGACCAUCCUCCAAGGCUAAAUACUCCUGACUGACCGAUAGUGAACCAGUACCGUGAGGGAAAGGCGAAAAGAACCCCGGCGAGGGGAGUGAAAAAGAACCUGAAACCGUGUACGUACAAGCAGUGGGAGCACCUUCGGGUGUGACUGCGUACCUUUUGUAUAAUGGGUCAGCGACUUAUAUUCUGUAGCAAGGUUAACCGUAUAGGGGAGCCGCAGGGAAACCGAGUCUUAACUGGGCGUUAAGUUGCAGGGUAUAGACCCGAAACCCGGUGAUCUAGCCAUGGGCAGGUUGAAGGUUGGGUAACACUAACUGGAGGACCGAACCGACUAAUGUUGAAAAAUUAGCGGAUGACUUGUGGCUGGGGGUGAAAGGCCAAUCAAACCGGGAGAUAGCUGGUUCUCCCCGAAAGCUAUUUAGGUAGCGCCUCGUGAACUCAUCUUCGGGGGUAGAGCACUGUUUCGGCUAGGGGGUCAUCCCGACUUACCAACCCGAUGCAAACUACGAAUACCGAAGAAUGUUAUCACGGGAGACACACGGCGGGUGCUAACGUCCGUCGUGAAGAGGGAAACAACCCAGACCGCCAGCUAAGGUCCCAAAGUCAUGGUUAAGUGGGAAACGAUGUGGGAAGGCACAGACAGCCAGGAUGUUGGCUUAGAAGCAGCCAUCAUUUAAAGAAAGCGUAAUAGCUCACUGGUCGAGUCGGCCUGCGCGGAAGAUGUAACGGGGCUAAACCAUGCACCGAAGCUGCGGCAGCGACACUAUGUGUUGUUGGGUAGGGGAGCGUUCUGUAAGCCUGCGAAGGUGACCUGUGAGGGUUGCUGGAGGUAUCAGAAGUGCGAAUGCUGACAUAAGUAACGAUAAAGCGGGUGAAAAGCCCGCUCGCCGGAAGACCAAGGGUUCCUGUCCAACGUUAAUCGGGGCAGGGUGAGUCGACCCCUAAGGCGAGGCCGAAAGGCGUAGUCGAUGGGAAACAGGUUAAUAUUCCUGUACUUGGUGUUACUGCGAAGGGGGGACGGAGAAGGCUAUGUUAGCCGGGCGACGGUUGUCCCGGUUUAAGCAUGUAGGCUGGUUGUCCAGGCAAAUCCGGAUAAUCAAGGCUGAGGUGUGAUGACGAGGCACUACGGUGCUGAAGUAACAAAUGCCCUGCUUCCAGGAAAAGCCUCUAAGCAUCAGGUAACAUCAAAUCGUACCCCAAACCGACACAGGUGGUCAGGUAGAGAAUACCAAGGCGCUUGAGAGAACUCGGGUGAAGGAACUAGGCAAAAUGGUGCCGUAACUUCGGGAGAAGGCACGCUGGUGUGUAGGUGAAGUCCCUGCGGAUGGAGCUGAGACCAGUCGAAGAUACCAGCUGGCUGCAACUGUUUAUUAAAAACACAGCACUGUGCAAACACGAAAGUGGACGUAUACGGUGUGACGCCUGCCCGGUGCCGGAAGGUUAAUUGAUGGGGUUAUCCGUAAGGAGAAGCUCUUGAUCGAAGCCCCGGUAAACGGCGGCCGUAACUAUAACGGUCCUAAGGUAGCGAAAUUCCUUGUCGGGUAAGUUCCGACCUGCACGAAUGGCGUAAUGAUGGCCAGGCUGUCUCCACCCGAGACUCAGUGAAAUUGAACUCGCUGUGAAGAUGCAGUGUACCCGCGGCAAGACGGAAAGACCCCGUGAACCUUUACUAUAGCUUGACACUGAACAUUGAGCCUUGAUGUGUAGGAUAGGUGGGAGGCUUUGAAGCGUGGACGCCAGUCUGCGUGGAGCCAACCUUGAAAUACCACCCUUUAAUGUUUGAUGUUCUAACGUUGGCCCCUUACCGGGGUUGCGGACAGUGUCUGGUGGGUAGUUUGACUGGGGCGGUCUCCUCCCAAAGCGUAACGGAGGAGCACGAAGGUUAGCUAAUCCUGGUCGGACAUCAGGAGGUUAGUGCAAUGGCAUAAGCUAGCUUGACUGCGAGCGUGACGGCGCGAGCAGGUGCGAAAGCAGGUCAUAGUGAUCCGGUGGUUCUGAAUGGAAGGGCCAUCGCUCAACGGAUAAAAGGUACUCCGGGGAUAACAGGCUGAUACCGCCCAAGAGUUCAUAUCGACGGCGGUGUUUGGCACCUCGAUGUCGGCUCAUCACAUCCUGGGGCUGAAGUAGGUCCCAAGGGUAUGGCUGUUCGCCAUUUAAAGUGGUACGCGAGCUGGGUUUAGAACGUCGUGAGACAGUUCGGUCCCUAUCUGCCGUGGGCGCUGGAGAAUUGAGGGGGGCUGCUCCUAGUACGAGAGGACCGGAGUGGACGCAUCACUGGUGUUCGGGUUGUCAUGCCAAUGGCACUGCCCGGUAGCUAAAUGCGGAAGAGAUAAGUGCUGAAAGCAUCUAAGCACGAAACUUGCCCCGAGAUGAGUUCUCCCUGAGACUUUAAGUCUCCUGAAGGAACGUUAAAGACGAUGACGUUGAUAGGCCGGGUGUGUAAGCGCAGCGAUGCGUUGAGCUAACCGGUACUAAUGAACCGUGAGGCUUAACCUU